rnacentral:rRNA from 1 species
UACGAAGGGUGCAAGCGUUAAUCGGAAUUACUGGGCGUAAAGGGUGCGUAGGCGGUUCGUUAAGUCUGUUGUGAAAUCCCCGGGCUCAACCUGGGAAUGGCAAUGGAUACUGGCGGGCUAGAGUGUGUCAGAGGAUGGUGGAAUUCCCGGUGUAGCGGUGAAAUGCGUAGAGAUCGGAAAGAACACCAACGGCGAAAGCACUCUGCUGGGCCGACACUGACACUGAGAGACGAAAGCUAGGGGAGCGAAUGGG